rnacentral:rRNA from 1 species
ACGUACGCUGGCGGCACGCCUAACACAUGCAAGUCGAACGAAGUAGCAAUACUUAGUGGCAGACGGGUGAGUAACAUGUAGGUAUCUGCCCUUUGGCCUGGAAUAACACGAGGAAACUUGUGCUAAUACCGGAUAAGUCUUUACAGAGAAAGCUUUAUGCACCAUUGGAUGAGCCUGCACUUGAUUAGUUUGUUGGUGGGGUAAUGGCCUACCAAGACUGUGAUCAAUAGCUGAUUUGAGAGGAUGAUCAGCCACAUUGGGACUGAGACACGGCCCAAACUCCUACGGGAGGCAGCAGUGGGGAAUCUUGCACAAUGGAGGAAACUCUGAUGCAGCUAUGCCGCGUGAGUGAAGAAGGCCUUUGGGUUGUAAAGCUCUUUCGUCGGGGAAGAAAAUGACUGUACCCGAAUAAGAAGGUCCGGCUAACUUCGUGCCAGCAGCCGCGGUAAUACGAAGGGACCUAGCGUAGUUCGGAAUUACUGGGCUUAAAGAGUUCGUAGGUGGUUGAAAAAGUUAGUGGUGAAAUCCCAGAGCUUAACUCUGGAACUGCCAUUAAAACUUUUCAGCUAGAGUAUGAUAGAGGAAAGCAGAAUUUCUAGUGUAGAGGUGAAAUUCGUAGAUAUUAGAAAGAAUACCCAAUUGCGAAGGCAGCUUUCUGGAUCAUUACUGACACUGAGGAACGAAAGCAUGGGUAGCGAAGAGGAUUAGAUACCCUCGUAGUCCAUGCCGUAAACGAUGUGUGUUAGACGUUGGAAAUUUAUUUUCAGUGUCGCAGGGAAACCGAUAAACACACCGCCUGGGGAGUACGACCGCAAGGUUAAAACUCAAAUGAAUUGACGGGGACCCGCACAAGUAGUGGAGCAUGUGGUUUAAUUCGAAGAUACGCGCAGAACCUUACCAACACUUGACAUGUUCGUCGCGACUCUAAGAGAUUAGAGUUUUCGGUUCGGCCGGACGAAACACAGGUGCUGCAUGGCUGUCGUCAGCUCGUGUCGUGAGAUGUUGGGUUAAGUCCCGCAACGAGCGCAACCCUCACUUUUAGUUGCCAUCAUUAAGUUGGGCACUCUGAAAGAACUGCCAGUGAUAAGCUGGAGGAAGGUGGGGAUGACGUCAAGUCCUCAUGGCCCUUACGUGUUGGGCUACACACGUGCUACAAUGGUAUCUACAACAGGAAGCAAGACUGCGAAGUUAAGCAAAUCCCUAAAAGAUACCUCAGUUCGGAUUGCACUCUGCAACUCGAGUGCAUGAAGCUGGAAUUACUAGUAAUCGUGGAUCAGCGUGCCACGGUGAAUGCGUUCCCGGGUCUUGCUACACACCGCC